rnacentral:rRNA from 1 species
CCUACGGGUGGCAGCAGUGAGGAAUAUUGGUCAAUGGACGAAAGUCUGAACCAGCCAAGUAGCGUGAGGGAUGACUGCCCUAUGGGUUGUAAACUUCUUUUAUAAAGGAAUAAAACGAGGCACGUGUGCAUUUUUGCAUGUACUUUAUGAAUAAGGAUCGGCUAAUUCCGUGCCAGCAGCCGCGGUAAUACGGAGGGUCCGAGCGUUAUCCGGAUUUAUUGGGUUUAAAGGGAGCGUAGGUGGGUGUUUAAGUCAGUUGUGAAAUUUUGCGGCUCAACCGUAAGAUUGCAAUUGAUACUGGCAGUCUGGAGUACAGGUGAGGUAGGCGGAAUUCGUGGUGUAGCGGUGAAAUGCUUAGAGAUCACGAAGAACCCCGAUUGCGAAGGCAGCUUACUAAACUGUUACUGACAUUGAUGCUCGAAAGUGUGGGUAUCAAACAGGAUUAGAUACCCGUGUAGUC